rnacentral:rRNA from 1 species
AUUGCACGCUGGCGGCAGGCCUAACACAUGCAAGUCGAACGAGUGGCGGACGGGUGAGUAAUAUCUGGGAAACUGCCUGAUGGCGGGGGAUAACUACUGGAAACGGUAGCUAAUACCGCAUACCAUCAGCGCUGCCCAUAUGGGAUUAGCUAGUUGGUGGGGUAAAGGCUCACCAAGGCAACGAUCCCUAGCUGGUCUGAGAGGACGACCCGCCAAACUGGAACUGAGACACGGCCCAGACUCCUACGUGAGGCAGCAGUGGGGAAUAUUGGAUAAUGGGGGAAAGCCUGAUGCAGCCAUGCCGCGUGUAUGAUGAGGGCCUGGGGGUUGUAAAGUACUUUGAGCGGGGAGGCGUUACCUGCAGAAGAAGCACCGGCUAACUACGUGCCAGCAGCCGCGGUAAUAC